rnacentral:lncRNA from 10 species
GAUUCUCGCGGGACCUCGUUGGCAGAGCAGUUGUCCUGGAUGGCGGAGCCUUGGGUUCCGGGGGCCUGGGACCUGCAACUCUUUCUACAAGGCUGGAGUGCAGUGGCACCAUCUCGGCUCACUGCAGCCUCUACCCCCCGGGUUCAAGCAAUUCUCCUGCCUCAGCCUCCUGAGUAGCUGGGACUACAGAUGCACACCACCACGCCCGGCUAAUUUUUGUAUUUUUGUAGAGAUGGGGUUUCACCAUGUUAGUCAGGCUGGUCUGGAACUCCUGACCUGAGGUGAUCCACUUACCUCGGCCUCCCAAAGUGCUGGAUUACAGGGGUGAGCCACGGUGCCUGGCCCAAACAUCUUGAUAUAAUUUUGUUCUGCUGAUUUUAUGAAAUUCCUCCCUUUUCAGAACUGUAAUAAACAAUAUUG